CGCGGCAAGCAGCAGAGGGGGCUGGAAGCCAUUCUGCCCCGACGACAGAGGACAGAGGACUUUUCAGAUGCACCUGCAACCAGGCUAGUGGCGAGUCCCAGAUCACACGGAGCGCACCUGUGCCCGUGGACCUGAGCUUGCUGACCUCUGCACGUCAAUAAUGGAUGACCCAGAGGCCCAUGGACGUUAAUAUUACAUAGAGGCCAUCCCGGCCAGCAGGAGGGAGUUGGUGCCCAGGAUGGGCUGGCCUGCCUCUGACUCGCCAUGGAAACAACAUGAAAGGAGAAAUUUUUAGGAAGGUGCAGGACAGAGCUGACCACGCGUAACAGGUAGAACGGUUUGUAAUUUCAACUUUCAGGGAGCGUAACUGACGCGAGCUUCAGUUAUUCAUCUCAAAAAUGGGGGAAACGGAGGCCAACUCCAAGACGCAGAGAGAACGGAAGGUAGAAGUGGGUCCCUCUGGAGCAGAACUCAGAUCUGCUUACCAGCCAGUAUCAUAGUGUCUCCCUCCAGGGGAAAAGCUGGGGAGGCCUGCUUGUGGCCCAUUAUAAAAGAGGACAGCCCCUCAAAUGUGAAGCAAAGCCACAGGACUUGGGGGACAA